rnacentral:lncRNA from 1 species
GAAGAGGGUAUUGUUGCUGGAGAUGUAAUGGAUGUUAAUACUGCCACUGCUUUAUGGGAGGUUCAGAAGACCACCCUCAUCCACAGUAGCCUAGCAGUGAAAUUUGUGAAGCUGGCCAAGCCUUAGACAAGUGGCAAGCUCAUGUUUGUGUGCUUGCAUCCAACUGUGAUGAGCCUUUGUAUGUCAAGUUGGUGGAGGCCCUUGGUGCUGAACACCAAAUCAACCUAAUGAAGGUUGAUGACAACAAGCAACUGUAGGGGAAUGGGUAGGCCUCUGUAAAAUUGACAGAGAGAGAAAACCCUAUAAAGAAAUUGGUUGUGGUUGGGUAGUAGUUAAGGACUAUGGCAAAGAAUCUUACGCCCAGUAUGUCAUCGAAGAGUCCUUCAAAUGCAAGAAA